GUGCGCCUAUGUGCGCGCGCGAGAGAAGGGGGCGAGGGGAGAGCUUGGCACCCAGCCAGCUACCAUCAGAAUUAGCUCAUUGUUCAAUAUAACCCGCACUGGCAAACGAAGUCUGAGAGAGAGAGAGAGAUUUCCCCUGAUAGCCACCCCCCUUUCUUUUCUCUCCCCCCUCCCAUUUUCCAAGGCUGCACUCUCAAAGAGGUGCAGUCAUUUCUCCCCACACCCCCUUCCCAGCCCACUCUUUUCCCCUCCCUUCCUUCCUCCCCCUUCUAUAAAUUCCCUUCUGUAGCAUGCUGCCCUUUUAAAAUCCACAUUUGUGUUUCAGAUCAUGUAGAAAAGACAGAAGGGGAGAAAGUGCUUUUGUCUAGCAUUCUGUUCGAGCUGCAGACAAAAAGUGCAGUCUAAAGUCUUAAUAGAAUCUGAGAAUGGUUUAUUAUCCAAGGCUCACAGCAGACCAGAAACACAUUCCAGUCAGUCAUGGGCAUGGAGGAUUCCUUAAGGACAAUCUUCCCAUCCCAAAGGAAGUCAAUCGCAAAAAGAACAAGAAUUCUGAAGAUUUGUUCCUGACACCAGCAAAUGGCUAUGGACACCAUUUCACCAAAAUCAAUUACCUCUCCUCUUUUUAAUCAUAACUCCUCAUUUGUAUUAAAUAUGGUGUAUGGGUGUUGAUGAGGUGAUCAUGGUAUCAUAUAUCGGGAAUUGUUUAUGUGUAUAUCAUAAGAAGAAAACUAAGGGACUCUGAGCCUUGCUUUAGAGAAUUACAGCGGGAAAAAAAAACUAUGUACCAUAAAACCGGUUUUUAACCAUUCAAGUAAAAGCUCUCAGAAUUUCACACUGUGAACUCAAGUUUACAAACAUGACAGGUGGGCCUUCAGGCCUUGUUUCUACCACAGCAAUGUCUUCCACUACUCAAACUCAACUGACCACAUGCAACUGGUAAACUGCUGCCUCUCCAUUUCCAUUAUUCCGAACUGCUUCCUGCAGAGGCUGAGAGUCCCCCUUUUAUUUCAUUUUAGAUGUAACAAGCCUAGUAGUUUAUUUUCAUUGAUUGUCUGUAUAUCUCUAUAUUUUAUCCAUGUACUCUUUUGAUGUAUAGAAGUAGUAUGAAACUCAUGGUUUCCUUGUGGUAAGUGACUGAGAUGCUGCCACGGGAUUUGAGAACACUGAUGAAUGGUGCUAUUUUGGACUUUAAACAUGCUCCUUGGCAAGGUAGCUCUGAUGGAGUUAUUUUUAAUUUCCAUGUUCUAAGAAGGUGUUGGUACUUUGUUCUUGUUCUUUAGACUGGACUGACUUGUUUCCUUGUGUCUUCAGUGUGGCUUUCUUAUUCCGUGUUGUAGGGUGAGUUAAUACUAAUACAGUGAGUGAGGAACUGAUUCCCACCUGAGUAUGCUCACAAACUUGCGAUGGGUAGUGGGAGCAAUCACAAAAUUGUAAUUUACUACAAUUUUCCUUUUUCUACCAUCCUGCUCAUGUGAUUUCGGAUAAAAUAUAGCAAUAAUUUCUCCUCUGUGUGGUCUUUAGGGGUCUUCUUUUGUCUUUCAUGUCUCAAUUCAUUAGAAAGGCUUUAAUUAAAAGGGGGUUUAGCAUGUUUUUAAAUGUCCUUUUAAGAGUGGAAAACAUGGAUUUUUUUUAACAAAGCAGAAUUAAUGUUCCUUUAAAUGUGUAGAAAGAGGAACUCUUAAAAAGCAAUGAAUAUACUUCCACAGACUUUCCAACAUGUGGAUUUUACAUUUUUGUUCUUGCUCCCGGGGAAUUAGGAAACAAAAACACAAAACAAAACAGUACCAUCUACUCAUGGAAUGUUGUUGUGUUAGACACAGUCUGGAAGCCCACCUUAAUUUUUUAUAUAACUCUGUCUUUCAGCUCUUCCUUUUACUGGGCAGGCUUUGUCCUGAGCCAUUUAGCUUCUGACUGUUAAAUACCAAUGCAUGCACUGCACUUCUUAAUUUUCUUCCCCAUCCUUAUUCUUGUGCACUUUCUUUCUAGUAGAUUAGAUAAGUCAACAGUAUUCAGCAAUCGUGGCAUAUCUGUAUAGUUGCAGUUGUGUACUGCUGAAAAUGCAGGCUUUUGUAAUGGCGUGAUCUUUAAUAAUGCACUACAAGUACCCUAUGUAUUUUAGCUCUUUUAGUAGGAUUUGUUCAAUAAAUAUGCAAGCUCUAAGAGUAA